rnacentral:rRNA from 1 species
GACGAACGCUGGCGGCGUGCCUAAUACAUGCAAGUUGAGCGAUGAAGAUUGGUGCUUGCACCAAUUUGAAGAGCAGCGAACGGGUGAGUAACGCGUGGGGAAUCUGCCUUUGAGCGGGGGACAACAUUUGGAAACGAAUGCUAAUACCGCAUAACAACUUUAAACAUAAGUUUUAAGUUUGAAAGAUGCAAUUGCAUCACUCAAAGAUGAUCCCGCGUUGUAUUAGCUAGUUGGUGAGGUAAAGGCUCACCAAGGCGAUGAUACAUAGCCGACCUGAGAGGGUGAUCGGCCACAUUGGGACUGAGACGCGGCCCAAACUCCUACGGGAGGCAGCAGUAGGGAAUCUUCGGCAAUGGACGAAAGUCUGACCGAGCAACGCCGCGUGAGUGAAGAAGGGUUUCGGAUCGUAAAACUCUGUUGGUAGAGAAGAACGUUGGUGAGAGUGGAAAGCUCAUCAAGUGACGGUAACUACCCAGAAAGGGACGGCUAACUACGUG